GACGAACGCUGGCGGCGUGCUUAACACAUGCCAGUCGAACGGACAGGCCCUGCUUUUGUUGGUUGCUCGAUUGGCGAACGGGUGAGUAACACGUGAGUAACCUGCCCUUGACUUUGGGAUAACUUCAGGAAACUGGGGCUCAUACCCGAUAGGAGCUCCUGCUGCAUGUUGGGCGUUGGAAAGUUUCGGCGGUUGGGGAUGGACUCGCUGCUUAUCAGCUUGUUGGUGGGGUAGUUGCUUACCAAGGCUUUGACGGGUAGCCGGCCUGAGAGGGGGACCGGGCACAUGGGGACUGAGGGAGGGACCAGACUCCUAUGGGAGGCAGCAGUGGGGAAUAUUGCAGAAUGGGGGGAAGCGUGAUGUAGCAACGCCGCGUGCGGGAUGACGGCUUUCGAGUUGUAAACCGAUGUGGCAUGUGACGAAGAGUGAGUGACGGUAAUGGGUAAAGAAGCACCGGCUAACUACGUG
rnacentral:rRNA from 1 species